rnacentral:rRNA from 1 species
AUUGAACGCUGGCGGCAGGCCUAACACAUGCAAGUCGAGCGAGCGGCGGACGGGUGAGUAAUGUAUGGGGAACUGCCCGAUAGCGGGGGAUAACUACUGGAAACGGUGGCUAAUACCGCAUACUAUCGGAUGUACCCAGAUGGGAUUACCUAGUAGGUGGGGUAAAGGCUCACCUAGGCGACGAUCUCUAGCUGGUCUGAGAGGAAGAUCAGCCACACUGGAACGGAGACACGGCCCAGACUCCGACGGGAGGCAGCAGUGGGGAAUAUUGCACAAUGGGCGCAAGCCUGAUGCAGCCAUGCCGCGUGUAUGAAGAAGGCCUUAGGGUGGUAAAGUACUUUCAGCGGGGAGGCGUUACCCGCAGAAGAAGCACCGGCUAACUCCGUGCCAGCAGCCGCGGUAAUUC